rnacentral:rRNA from 1 species
AGGGUUCGAUUCUGGCUCAGGAUGAACGCUAGCGACAGGCUUAACACAUGCAAGUCGAGGGGCAGCAUAGAAGUAGCAAUACUUGGUGGCGACCGGCGCACGGGUGAGUAACGCGUAUGCAACCUACCUAUCAGAGGGGAAUAACCCGGCGAAAGUCGGACUAAUACCGCAUAAAACAGGGGCACCGCAUGGUGAUAUUUGUUAAAGAAAUUCGCUGAUAGAUGGGCAUGCGUUCCAUUAGGUAGUUGGUGAGGUAACGGCUCACCAAGCCGACGAUGGAUAGGGGAACUGAGAGGUUGGUCCCCCACACUGGUACUGAGACACGGACCAGACUCCUACGGGAGGCAGCAGUGAGGAAUAUUGGUCAAUGGGCGGGAGCCUGAACCAGCCAAGUCGCGUGAAGGAAGAAGGAUCUAUGGUUCGUAAACUUCUUUUGCAGGGGAAUAAAGUGCAGGACGUGUCCUGUUUUGUAUGUACCCUGAGAAUAAGGAUCGGCUAACUCCGUGCCAGCCGCAGC